rnacentral:misc_RNA from 1 species
GUGUAUAAAUAAUCGCUAUGCUAGACUCGGUCAAACUCGACAAGCGUGAAUGUGGUUUGGCAGAGAGAGGAUAAAUCUCUUUGAUCCUCUCUCCCCUCCUUUUCUCAUAAUGAUCCUUCCGCAGGUUCACCUACGGAAA